rnacentral:lncRNA from 1 species
GAUUUUUUUUUUUUUUAAUUAACUCUUUGUUAGUUUAGUUUAUUUAUUGAAAAUAAUUAAAAUUAUUAACUUUAAUAAAAUGAUUAAUAAAUUUAAUAUUUUUUGACUAAAAUUAUUUUGGACCUCGGGUACCAACUAGUAAGUCCUUUGUCACUUGCGCUUGAGGCAGUUGAUAAAUUACUUGAUUUUAAAAAGUUAAAAGUUAAAGGAGUUCCUGUCCAAGAAAAAAAUUAAGAAGAUUA